GACUGCCGGUGUUAAACCGAGGAAGGUGGGGAUGACGUCAAGUCCUCAUGGCCCUUAUGUCCAGGGCUACACACGUGCUACAAUGGCCGGUACAAAGGGCAGCAAAGCCGCGAGGUGGAGCCAAUCCCAGAAAGCCGGUCUCAGUUCGGAUUGGAGUCUGCAACUCGACUCCAUGAAGUUGGAAUCGCUAGUAAUCGCGGAUCAGCACGCCGCGGUCGAAUACGUUCCGGGCCUU
rnacentral:rRNA from 1 species